rnacentral:misc_RNA from 1 species
UGCCUUUAUUUUCAAUUUAUCAAUUUGGAAUAGGCAACAUUUAUCACAUUUUCUUAUUUCAAUAUAAGAUUCAAGAUUAUAUACAGCUAUUUUUAUUUUAUCUAAAAAAAGACCACCAAUCUGUUUGCUUAAGUAGACAAACAAUGACAUUUUGAAAAAUGCCUCUAUAUUGUGUAUUGUGAAAUUGUAAAUUUUCCAUAUUACCUUAUGCAACUUAUUUAACAAAUAAAUUUGUUUUAUGCUCUCGUUUUGGUCCAGGAAACCAAUACAGCCAUCCCAUUAGAAAUUUUAUGAUUUGUCACCCAUUAAACGCAGUUCUUUGUUUGUCCAAUUUAAGUGUUUUACAUACGAGGGCAAACAUAACUAACAAUAAAUAAGGACAUCCAACAAAAUUUAGCCGAUACGAAAAGAUAGCAAAAGAAAAAGAAUUGACGACCCAGCAAACACCACAUAGAUCCCUACCAAAUCCGAAAUAAAUAACAAGCUUAGCAUACGCAUAUAGAUGCAAACCAAAA